GGGUUGUGAGGUUAAGCGACUAAGCGUACACGGUGGAUGCCCUGGCAGUCAGAGGCGAUGAAGGGCGUGCUAAUCUGCGAUAAGCGCCGGUAAGGUGAUAUGAACCGUUAUAACCGGCGAUACCCGAAUGGGGAAACCCAGUGUGACUCGUCACACUAUCAUUAACUGAAUCCAUAGGUUAAUGAGGCGAACCGGGGGAACUGAAACAUCUAAGUACCCCGAGGAAAAGAAAUCAACCGAGAUUCCCCCAGUAGCGGCGAGCGAACGGGGAGGAGCCCAGAGCCUGAAUCAGCAUGUGUGUUAGUGGAAGCGUCUGGAAAGGCGUGCGAUACAGGGUGACAGCCCCGUACACAAAAGCGCAUGUGCUGUGAGCUCGAUGAGUAGGGCGGGACACGUGGUAUCCUGUCUGAAUAUGGGGGGACCAUCCUCCAAGGCUAAAUACUCCUGACUGACCGAUAGUGAACCAGUACCGUGAGGGAAAGGCGAAAAGAACCCCGGCGAGGGGAGUGAAAAAGAACCUGAAACCGUGUACGUACAAGCAGUGGGAGCACCCUUUGGGGUGUGACUGCGUACCUUUUGUAUAAUGGGUCAGCGACUUAUAUUCUGUAGCAAGGUUAACCGCAUAGGGGAGCCGCAGGGAAACCGAGUCUUAACCGGGCGUUAAGUUGCAGGGUAUAGACCCGAAACCCGGUGAUCUAGCCAUGGGCAGGUUGAAGGUUGGGUAACACUAACUGGAGGACCGAACCGACUAAUGUUGAAAAAUUAGCGGAUGACCUGUGGCUGGGGGUGAAAGGCCAAUCAAACCGGGAGAUAGCUGGUUCUCCCCGAAAGCUAUUUAGGUAGCGCCUCGUGAACUCAUCUCCGGGGGUAGAGCACUGUUUCGGCUAGGGGGCCAUCCCGGCUUACCAACCCGAUGCAAACUGCGAAUACCGGAGAAUGUUAUCACGGGAGACACACGGCGGGUGCUAACGUCCGUCGUGAAGAGGGAAACAACCCAGACCGCCAGCUAAGGUCCCAAAGUCAUGGUUAAGUGGGAAACGAUGUGGGAAGGCCCAGACAGCCAGGAUGUUGGCUUAGAAGCAGCCAUCAUUUAAAGAAAGCGUAAUAGCUCACUGGUCGAGUCGGCCUGCGCGGAAGAUGUAACGGGGCUAAACCAUGCACCGAAGCUGCGGCAGCGACGCUGAUGCGUUGUUGGGUAGGGGAGCGUUCUGUAAGCCUGUGAAGGUGGCCUGUGAGGGUUGCUGGAGGUAUCAGAAGUGCGAAUGCUGACAUAAGUAACGAUAAAGCGGGUGAAAAGCCCGCUCGCCGGAAGACCAAGGGUUCCUGUCCAACGUUAAUCGGGGCAGGGUGAGUCGACCCCUAAGGCGAGGCCGAAAGGCGUAGUCGAUGGGAAACGGGUUAAUAUUCCCGUACUUGGUGUUACUGCGAAGGGGGGACGGAGAAGGCUAUGUUGGCCGGGCGACGGUUGUCCCGGUUUAAGCGUGUAGGUGUGUGUUCCAGGUAAAUCCGGUUCACUUUAACACUGAGGCGUGACGACGAGGCACUACGGUGCUGAAGCAACAAAUGCCCUGCUUCCAGGAAAAGCCUCUAAGCAUCAGGUAACAUCAAAUCGUACCCCAAACCGACACAGGUGGUCAGGUAGAGAAUACCAAGGCGCUUGAGAGAACUCGGGUGAAGGAACUAGGCAAAAUGGUGCCGUAACUUCGGGAGAAGGCACGCUGACACGUAGGUGAAGUGAUUUACUCAUGGAGCUGAAGUCAGUCGAAGAUACCAGCUGGCUGCAACUGUUUAUUAAAAACACAGCACUGUGCAAACACGAAAGUGGACGUAUACGGUGUGACGCCUGCCCGGUGCCGGAAGGUUAAUUGAUGGGGUCAGCGCAAGCGAAGCUCCUGAUCGAAGCCCCGGUAAACGGCGGCCGUAACUAUAACGGUCCUAAGGUAGCGAAAUUCCUUGUCGGGUAAGUUCCGACCUGCACGAAUGGCGUAAUGAUGGCCAGGCUGUCUCCACCCGAGACUCAGUGAAAUUGAACUCGCUGUGAAGAUGCAGUGUACCCGCGGCAAGACGGAAAGACCCCGUGAACCUUUACUAUAGCUUGACACUGAACAUUGAGCCUUGAUGUGUAGGAUAGGUGGGAGGCUUUGAAGUGUGGACGCCAGUCUGCAUGGAGCCGACCUUGAAAUACCACCCUUUAAUGUUUGAUGUUCUAACGUGGACCCGUUACCCGGGUUGCGGACAGUGUCUGGUGGGUAGUUUGACUGGGGCGGUCUCCUCCUAAAGAGUAACGGAGGAGCACGAAGGUUGGCUAAUCCUGGUCGGACAUCAGGAGGUUAGUGCAAUGGCAUAAGCCAGCUUGACUGCGAGCGUGACGGCGCGAGCAGGUGCGAAAGCAGGUCAUAGUGAUCCGGUGGUUCUGAAUGGAAGGGCCAUCGCUCAACGGAUAAAAGGUACUCCGGGGAUAACAGGCUGAUACCGCCCAAGAGUUCAUAUCGACGGCGGUGUUUGGCACCUCGAUGUCGGCUCAUCACAUCCUGGGGCUGAAGUAGGUCCCAAGGGUAUGGCUGUUCGCCAUUUAAAGUGGUACGCGAGCUGGGUUUAGAACGUCGUGAGACAGUUCGGUCCCUAUCUGCCGUGGGCGCUGGAGAACUGAGGGGGGCUGCUCCUAGUACGAGAGGACCGGAGUGGACGCAUCACUGGUGUUCGGGUUGUCAUGCCAAUGGCACUGCCCGGUAGCUAAAUGCGGAAGAGAUAAGUGCUGAAAGCAUCUAAGCACGAAACUUGCCCCGAGAUGAGUUCUCCCUGAGACUUAGAGUCUCCUGAAGGAACGUUGAAGACGACGACGUUGAUAGGCCGGGUGUGUAAGCGCAGCGAUGCGUUGAGCUAACCGGUACUAAUGAACCGUGAGGCUUAACCUUACAACGCCGAAG
rnacentral:rRNA from 1 species